CUUUCCAUGUGGACAUUUCACUCACUGGAGUAUGCAGUAUAUCAGUAUGGAUCACAAAAAAAACAGUUGCUUGUUUCUUACUUAUGUGCCAUAUAUGUUUUAAAUUAUUAUAGGGGAUGCUGCAGGGGAAACAUUUUCAAAGUUUUCUUGCUUUAAUGACAUUCAGUCAGGAAGAUUCUUGUUUGGACUUGUCUCCUCUAGCCAGAGGUUAUAUAGCUCCAGCUCCUCAAACCAGACACAGACAGACACAAGCACAAGUCCAGCAACCGCCACACACAUGCGCAUAGGAGAUCACCCGAGGGAAAUCCUGCUUGGGCCUGCCAACAUCACUUCCAGUUCCGGGCCUGAUGGCAUCACUGCCGGUUCUGAUGAUAUCACUUCUGGUUCCAGACUUGAUGAUGUCCCUUCCUCCGCCUUACUAUAAAAUUAGCAUCUUGUUAACAGUGAAUCAGUUCUGUUUUGGACUCAGGUCUUUCUAGACAUAUUGAUGAUUUUUUUCUUUUUCUUUUUGCCUAAUCUCCAAGUAUACAGGGUGGAUACCCCUAACCUUUUUCAAUGUUUAUCUAUUUAUUCACACAACACACAGGCUUUUUAUUAGGGAAACUCUUGACUGUAAUAGUUUCCCACAGCACAGCACAAUACAAAGUUCAAAGCGCAGCACACUCUUGCUUCUUCUUUGUCUUUUUCACUCUCUCUUUCUGCCUCUUCCUUCCUCCAGCAAGCUUUGGCCCUCUUCCUCCCAACUCUGGCUCCUGGAGGUGCGGCAGCAGGCUUCUUUUAUGCUGCACUCAAUACUACUUCCAGUUUCCCAUAAACCUGGUCCAGAAAUACUUCCUGCUGCACUUCCUGGCAGCAACCCCAGAACCCAACAGGGCUGAGCCACCAAAUUCCAACUACCAGCAUGCUCUGUAGGAAUCUGUGGCACUGUAACAACCCUGGGGGGCUGCCAUCUAGUGAUCUGGGUACAGAUAAUGCCAUUGAGCAUGCCUUUUGCCCUGGUUCUUCCAUUAAGAAGGCAUCCCAGCCAGGCAAGGGUCUUGGCCAUCCGCCACAAGGGGUAUUUUGUAUAGUUUGUUCCUCAUUUUGGGCUUGUGUAAGACAAAAUCUACAGGUGGUGAUUGGGGGUGACUUCUACGGUGAAGCUUUCUCUGGGUAUCAUGAUGGAGAUCCUAGCCUGCUUUAUAGGACUAUUAUGGGGCCUCGUAAUCUUUAUGACGUUUUUGGUUUACUGUAUAUAUAGACUGGUAGUUACAGAGGAAUCAGUAAGUACAGUAAAUAACACAGAACAGGGAAGAAAGAUUUUGAUACAGAGAACCCACACUGGUAAAUGGAGAGCUUAACUAUAUCCGGCAGGGUUUAGUAAACUUUGUCAUUUAAGAGGUUGCCCAGAUGUAAAUAUGUUGAGGGUAGUAGCAAUGUGAGAACUAGCAAGAACAUAGGUUUACCAUACAUUUCUUAAACUAAUAGGAGGAAAUGAAGGGACCUGUCACAGGUGGAAUCUGAUAUCUCAAAAUACCAUAAGGAUUUCUAUCUCUUUAACGGAGAUGGAAAACUCUGGUUUUGGAAAUAAUUCCAGGGUUUUCCCAAAAGUUAACCCCAACCCUGUUUUAAAGGAUAUUCUUUAUCCGAACCCCCAUUAAAUCUUGGAUUGUAUGGUGAGUUGGAGCAAAGGAUUAACUGAAAGGAAGGCAGCUUGGCCAGAAAAAGAUUUGGGUGUUGUGUUUGAUAAGGUGAGCAGCAGGGUUAGCUACACCACUAGAUAAUCAAGUAUACAAAAAUUAUUAUAUUCUGGCAUAACAUGAUAACUACAGCUGAUUUGAUAUCCAGUGUUUUUCUGUAUUUUUUUUUGUUUACAUAAAACAUCCAUUUGCACUUAAUUUCUCUCUCUCUCUCAUGCUCCCUCUCUCUCUAUAUAUAUAUGUGUGUGUUUGUGUGUGUGGGUGUGUGUGUGCACGCCACAUACAUAAAGAAAACAAAUGCAAUAUUCAUUGCUGAAUUGUAAUUUCAAUUAUUUUGAUUUUGAUUUAAAUAACAAUAAACAAAUAAGAAAAAUAGGAAAACAAAACAGCACAACAACAAACGUAUGAAGAAAACAGUUCCAAUGGUGAACAUUAAGAACUGUUAUUUCAGACCACCUCUUGUAAGAUUCUGAAAAUGCAGUUUUGUCAUACUAUCCAGUUACCGCAGAAGGUCCUGACAAAGAAUCCCAGAGGUAUUUUACGGGACUAAGGUCAGUAAAGUAGGCAAGCCAAUGCAACACGUGCACAUGAACAAUCUUUGGGACAACUGUGAUCGCAGCAUCUGUGCAUGACCUGGCAUUGUCCUGCUGUACAGUCACACCUUCAGGAGGUAUGAGGAAAGGGCCUCUAAUAGGCUGUCUUGCUCUAAGGGCAGAAGUAUGGCACCUGUUCCUCACUGCCCUAUCUUUGAUGAGGGCAUUGUGUCUGUUCAUAGUUUCAAUAGAGGAACAGGGAGCUGAUCUGAAAUGAUCUCGCAGAUGGACUAGUCUGGCAUGUCAUUUUUAUUCUAGUGUAGUCUCACAAGCGUGGACAGUCAUCUGUCUUGCUGCUCCACUGAAAGCUUGCAUUCAGUUGCGACAUCGUGGAGCAGCCUAACAAUGGCUUAUGACAUACCUGCCUGCAGUAUGCCAGUGGAUGUCUACUUUUUCUCUUCUUUAUAUCUGAGGUAUAAGGGAAUACAUGGAAUUGACCAAACAUGGCUUUGAGUUUUUGUGACCUAAACUUUGAAUUAAGACCUCUUUAAAGGUGACUUGAUUGGGAAUUGUUCCGCCUUUACCUUAUUGGAUAAAAGUGCACCUAAUGACCUUUCAUGUGUUUACUCAGUUGUAAUGCUUUACUGCACAGGCUGUAUUGCUGGUCAGAGGGUUUAAAAAUAAUUGACACUUCUGUGAAAGUGCACAAGCUGUAACUAUGGUUUUCUUGUUCCAGAAAAUGUUAUACU